GAUGACGUAAAUGGGAAACAAUUUUCGCUCUUGUCUCCUCCUACCAUCAUCACGUCACCUAACGGCAAGGGCAUUUCAACAACAAGAAAAAAGCUAUUCCGGCCAACACUGUAAAGUGUAAAUUUGUAUCCGUACUCUUCGGUUAGUGUUUGUGAUGAUGCGCACAGAAUAUGAGAUUGAUUGCCGGUCGGUGUCAGCCAUCAAGUUGGUCUCCGAGGUGAUAAAUUCAGUUGACUUUAGUCAAGCGCGCCUCAGACUGAAAAAAGUAUCCUUACCGAGUAAACACUCUUCUCCAACUUCAGAAGAGAUCCAAGAGUUUUUACCGGUCAUUGCUGGUCAACCUCCAAGUUGGUCGAAGUGACGUCCAGAGAUGAUAUAUUCAGCAUUCAAACUGGAGUUGUCUUCAGUCUCAAAGCAGCAUUACCUUGCGUGCUGCCGGCAUGCUUCCUUUGAACGUCAGGUGGAGGAGACAACCAUAAGUGUGCUGUGUUCAGUGGCACCGAUAUUUAUAUCACUACUAGACAACAGUCAACGCGGUUACAGAAAAAAAACAUUUGAGCCCAACAAGUAAAA